AACGAACGCUGGCGGCAGGCCCUAACACAUGCAAGUCGAACGGAUCCUUCGGGAUUAGUGGCGCACGGGUGCGUAACACGUGGGAAUAUACCCUUAGGUAAGGAAUAAUAUCUGGAAACGGAUACUAAUACCUUAUAAUGACUUCGGUCCAAAAAUUUAUCGCCUAAGGAUUAGCCCGCGCUUGAUUAGAUAGUUGGUGAGGUAAUGGCUCACCAAGUCUACGAUCAAUAGGGGGUCUGAGAGGAUGAUCCCCCACACUGGGACUGAGACACGGCCCAGACUCCUACGGGAGGCAGCAGUGAGGAAUAUUGGACAAUGGAGGAAACUCUGAUCCAGCCAUGCCGCGUGAGUGAAGAAGGCCUUAGGGUUGUAAAGCUCUUUCAAUUGUGAAGAUAAUGACGGUAGCAAUAGAAGAAGCUCCGGCUAAAUUCGUG
rnacentral:rRNA from 1 species